rnacentral:rRNA from 1 species
UGGGGAAUAUUGGACAAUGGGCGAAAGCCUGAUCCAGCCAUGCCGCGUGUGUGAAGAAGGUCUUCGGAUUGUAAAGCACUUUAAGUUGGGAGGAAGGGCAUUAACCUAAUACGUUAGUGUUUUGACGUUACCGAAAGAAUAAGCACCGGCUAACUCUGUGCCAGCAGCCGCGGUAAUACAGAGGGUGCAAGCGUUAAUCGGAAUUACUGGGCGUAAAGCGCGCGUAGGUGGUAUGUUAAGUUGGAUGUGAAAUCCCCGGGCUCAACCUGGGAACUGCAUUCAAAACUGACUGACUAGAGUAUGGUAGAGGGUGGUGGAAUUUCCUGUGUAGCGGUGAAAUGCGUAGAUAUAGGAAGGAACACCAGUGGCGAAGGCGACCACCUGGACUAAUACUGACACUGAGGUGCGAAAGCGUGGGGAGCAAACA